rnacentral:rRNA from 1 species
AUUGAACGCUGGCGGCAGGCCUAACACAUGCAAGUCGAGCGGAUGAAGGGAGCUUGCUCCUGGAUUCAGCGGCGGACGGGUGAGUAAUGCCUAGGAAUCUGCCUGGUAGUGGGGGAUAACGUCCGGAAACGGGCGCUAAUACCGCAUACGUCCUGAGGGAGAAAGUGGGGGAUCUUCGGACCUCACGCUAUCAGAUGAGCCUAGGUCGGAUUAGCUAGUUGGUGGGGUAAAGGCCUACCAAGGCGACGAUCCGUAACUGGUCUGAGAGGAUGAUCAGUCACACCGGAACUGAGACACGGUCCAGACGCCUACGGGAGGCAGCAGUGGGGAAUAUUGGACAAUGGGCGAAAGCCUGAUCCAGCCAUGCCGCGUGUGUGAAGAAGGUCUUCGGAGUGUAAAGCACGUUAAGUUGGGAGGAAGGGCAGUAAGUUAAUACCUUGCUGUUUUGACGUUACCAACAGAAUAAGCACCGGCUAACUUCGUG